AACGACGCUGGCGGCAGGCCUAACACAUGCAAGUCGAGCGAGACCUUCGGGUCUAGCGGCGGACGGGUGAGUAACGCGUGGGAAUGUGCCCUUCUCUACGGAAUAGCCUCGGGAAACUGGGAGUAAUACCGUAUACGCCCUUAGGGGGAAAGAUUUAUCGGAGAAGGAUCAGCCCGCGUUGGAUUAGGUAGUUGGUGGGGUAAUGGCCUACCAAGCCUACGAUCCAUAGCUGGUUUGAGAGGAUGAUCAGCCACACUGGGACUGAGACACGGCCCAGACUCCUACGGGAGGCAGCAGUGGGGAAUCUUAGACAAUGGGGGCAACCCUGAUCUAGCCAUGCCGCGUGAGUGAUGAAGGCCUUAGGGUUGUAAAGCUCUUUCAGCUGGGAAGAUAAUGACGGUACCAGCAGAAGAAGCCCCGGCUAACUCCGUG
rnacentral:rRNA from 1 species